AGCGAACGCUGGCGGCAGGCUUAACACAUGCAAGUCGAACGGGCAUCUUCGGAUGUCAGUGGCAGACGGGCGAGUAACACGUGGGAACGUACCCUUCGGUUCGGAAUAACUCAGGGAAACUUGAGCUAAUACCGGAUACGCCCUUUUGGGGAAAGGUUUACUGCCGAAGGAUCGGCCCGCGUCUGAUUAGCUUGUUGGUGGGGUAACGGCCUACCAAGGCGACGAUCAGUAGCUGGUCUGAGAGGAUGAUCAGCCACACUGGGACUGAGACACGGCCCAGACUCCUACGGGAGGCAGCAGUGGGGAAUAUUGGACAAUGGGCGCAAGCCUGAUCCAGCCAUGCCGCGUGAGUGAUGAAGGCCUUAGGGUUGUAAAGUUCUUUUGUCCGGGACGAUAAUGACGGUACCGGAAGAAUAAGCCCCGGCUAACUUCGUG
rnacentral:rRNA from 1 species